rnacentral:siRNA from 1 species
ACUGUCCACAUUUUCUCUUUGGC